CAACUACUCCCUCUGUCCCAAAUUUCUUGUCUUAGAUUUGUCUAGAUACGGAUGUAUCUAAUACUAAAAUGUGACUUGAUAGAUCCGUAUCUAGACAAAUCUAAGACAAGAAUUUUGGGACGGAGGGAGUACUUU
rfam:Triticum aestivum genome assembly, contig: Triticum_aestivum_CS42_TGACv1_scaffold_629586_7DS